AAAGGUAGCGUAAUCAUUAGUUUUUUAAUUGAAAGCUUGUAUGAAUGGUUGGACGAGGUAAAUACUGUCUUUAUUUAAUUUAAUUUAGAAUUUAACUUUUGAGUGAAAAGGCUUAAAUUUUAUUAAUAGACGAGAAGACCCUAUAGAUCUUUAUAAGUUAGUAGUUAAUUGUCUUAGGAUUAUUUAUUGAUUAAUUAUAAAACUUAUUUUAUUGGGGUAAUAUGAAGAUUCAAUGAAUUCUUUGAUUUACGAACAGAGAUAACUGGUUAAUUGAUCCAUUAUUAUUGAUUGUAAGAUUAAGUUACCUUAGGGAUAACAGCGUAAUUUUUUUGAAGAGUUCAUAUCGAUAAAAAAGU
rnacentral:rRNA from 1 species